CUAAACUUCAGUCGGCUUGAAAGGAAUCCCACUGGUGAAGCUCCAAGACCUCAAACAUCACAUCCUCACUAGAGCUGCCUGGUGGAUAAUACUGGAGGAUGUUGCAGUGACAAUGUCUUAAGAUGAAUAAAUAAAAUAUUAAAAAGUGUUAAUGUUAUAAACGUAUAAACUUAAUCCUACGUUUAAACAUAUAUAAUUUACCCAGCUCCUUAUAAAAGAAAUUGGAUAAUUUUCAUCUCAACCAGGUUUUAAUGAAAAAGAUGCUUCUGACCGAUGUUUGCUGUUUUGGCAACUCUUUAACAUCUAAACCUUCUAAAGCUACAGCAAGAAACAACCGACAACAAAAACCCCAUUCAGAUAGAGCCUGAAUGCAUGGCAGCUAAUGAGGUAACAUUUAUUACAGCAUGGUUAUAUGGCCAAGAUAAUAAAUCGGUGUUAUGUUCUGCAGCCCUCAUGCACACACGCAUCAAACAAAAAACUGAAAUUUAGAAAAUUGGCGUUUGUUCUUUUUCUUCCACAUUUUAAGCCUAACUAACUGGAUCAAUCAGCCUUUGAUUUGAGAAUAAUGGAUGGAUUAGAAGAAGAUGGUAGCAUCGUCUUAUUACUGAUUUACAGAAAUGUAUUUUUGUUAGACUUCUAGGAUGAAUUGUUUGAAAAUUCAGCUUUUGUAUAUUUUACCAUCUGAUGAUUUUCAAAAAAGGUAAAAGCUUGAUGCAUAAUAAAAUGACAUCUAUUAAAAUACAAAUAUAGAUCACUUAUGACGUUUUGAUUUUAAAAAUAUUAUUUGACAAAUUAAAACUAAAUGUAUCUUAGUUAUAAGCUUGCAAGAUAAAUGAAAUGAUCUUUAAAUACAGCAGUCAAAAUGACAUCUUGUUGCCAUAUUAGUGAUAAAUCUCCUGGCUCAGAUGGUGGAUUCUGCCACUUCAUGGACACAGACUGAGGACAGCAGCAGACUGAGACCARCAUGUUCAUGCUGUCUGUGAAGCUGCAGAGAAAGGUUCCCAAACAUCAACACAGACACAGUUUACAUGUAGGCAGCUCCCCAACAUGGAGCUGGAAGAGAGAUGAAUAAAAAGCUCUGUCAGUCUGAGGGGUUUUAAAUGAUUGGCACACCAAGACUGUAAGACAAUGAGGCUCACACACACAUGCACACACCCACCCCCACCAUCAGAUGUUGAGAUGUGAGGAACACAGCUGUCCACCUGCUCAGGGAGCCGCACUGCCCGACUCUGUGGAAAACACAAACUGUUUCCAUUUUAAAAGCCGAGUCGGCUGUAGAACAAUAGGUAGCCUCUGUGUUCCCACGGGAUGGAGGAAAAGAGACCUUCACAACCAGAGAGCAGAGGUGUAACCCAGUCAGGACUCACACAGAGGACAGCUGAGCUCCCAAUGUGAACAACGGCAACAUAAUGAUGCAGUAAGUCCUGCACAAACAUGUCAUUUGGCCUCCAGAUCCCCAAGAAAGGCUGCUUUAGUCCACAUGUAAACACUUACAAACGUGAGUAAUGUUUCCCUGUGGUUACUGCUUCUUUUUUCCACCCUAAUGUGAGCGUUUUAUUUGCCACCAGCAAGAGUUGAUCAUUCCUAAGAAUGUUUCAGAGAAAGCUGUAAUAAAAGCUCCUGGUGGAAGACGGUCAGUCUUCUGCUGACUCUUCUGGACAUGCUGUAUGACAGCAGCAAUAAGUCACUGUUUUCUGCUUCCAGUUCCAGACUGGAUGUUCCGGAACAUCCUACAGUAUGCCAAACAACAAUUUAAUGUGCUAUUCAACAGGGUUUAGUCAUAUAUAUAUAUAGCCAUUUCCCAUUGGGUUAUCAGUAAUUCAUGCAGUCACUGUUUUGUUUGUUCACAAAUAUAAAAUUCGACUCAGUCUAAGAACUUUUGAUUCCUCAUGUGUCUCUGGUUGAGUCUCCAAAGAGGCUGCAUGUUGCCAUGUUGGAAAAAAAAAGUUGUGCUUGCACUUCAAAUGGAUCAGACAUCAGCUUUCUCCUAUUCCUCAUUAGUUGCUUCAGAGGAAAUCUGAGCUUUUUCAUUCAUCUGCAGAGGUCUGUGCAGGUCCAACUGAGUCAAACUUGAUCACUUGAGAUGAACUCAUUUCACUUUCUGCAAACAGACUCAGACUUGGGUACUGUCAGAGGAUUUCAGAAGUUCUAAUCACGUCUCAGAGUGAAGCUUUGCUGAAAAAAAGAAGAAACAGUGUCUUUUUGACUCAGCAGCUAGGCUGGUCACCCUGGAUCACCUGGAUCAGGGAGGAUGUUUCCAGAACAUCUCAGGUCACAUGGAGGACAGAGGAUGAAGACCGAGGGAAUGUCAGUGAAAUAGAGACUCCCAGAUAAAGCAGGACAACAGCAGAGGAAAAGACGGAACAGCAGGGAAUUGUGGACAGACAGGAAUGUGAGGAUAUUGUUGGAAGUCUCUGACAAACUACAACCUGAACUAAAAGUGAGUGGUUUGUAACUCUGGGUUAUCGCGUCCUCAUCUCCCUCUCACACAUUCCUUCUCUUCUUCUAAGGAGAGAACUGUGGUGAGUGAGGUCAGGCUCCUCUCUGUGGAAGAAUCCAAAAAUGAACCAGAAAACUAGAGGAGCAUUUCCUAAUCAGGCCGUAUCAACCCGGAGCGUCUCAGACCUUGUCCUGUCAUCAUGGCUCAGACUGCAUGGGAAGCAGACAGAAGAGCAGCGAGGAGAUGGAGAGUCUGAGGCUGGUGGAGCCUGCAGAGAUGAGAUCAGUGGAUCAGGAUGUUUGGAAACUCUGGAGGCUUUUAAAGCAGAAAGAGAGGUGACCAGGAUAAAGCUGUGAAAUCAGAGCAGUUUAAUGUUUUGGCUUUCACAAUGUUGGACUUUUAUAUUCGUAAGAAAAGAUGCAGUGAAGAUGAAAAUGUUACUCAGGAGGAGGGACCGAUUGACAUGCAGGAUGUUCAGAGUGAGGUUGUAGAAGACGGGGUUUCCCUGUGAGGGAUUUGUUCUGAACAAAGGAUGACCUGCUGUACGUCUGACACUCUUAAUACCUUUGGACUAAAUGGAAACUUUCAGAUUAUUUUCCUCUUUUGAACAUUUUCUGCUCAUCCAGUCAUCUCUAGCUGGUAAAGAGCAAACUUCUUAAAUGUUUAGUGAACUUAAGGAGAGCGCCUGAGGCUGCACAGCUAAAAAGUCCAGAUGUUCUGCUGUCUUUUAAUGCCUCAUGAAACUCCAAGCUUGUGUUGUCAUUUUCACUGCUGGGCAGAUCUGAGCGAAGGCUGGACACAAGACAGAAGACAGGUUGAGGUCUAAAAACACCAAGAACUCUCAGUAAACAGCUGAAGUAAACACUCUGGCUGCCAUAAAGACAACUUUACUUUCAUUGUUUAAUGACUUUUCUGUUUCUCACUAAUGUUUCACAGAUGAGAUGGAGAUUGGUCCCAUUGAGGAGGGGGGAGGAGAGCCAGCAGGCGGCCAUCUUUCUCCCACUGACUCACUCGCUGCCUUUUCAUUCCCUCUCUGAUCUGUUUCGCUCCGUCUUUUUCGAUCUGAUUUCUUCAGACAACUCAAUUAUGCUGGCCGGGCUCCAUUUGUUUUCCAACUAAAUAUUACACCGUGGACUUUAUGAGUCAUAAGAAACAUCUUUCAGCUCCAUCCUAUCAGUCACCUCUACGCUUGAAGCCUUCUUGCUAAAACGUGUUUUUUUCCUCCAGCAUUUUAAAUAAAGACAGAAACCAGAGCAGCACAUGUUUGCUGAGGACACGGUGUCCACUGGAAGAACAAAACACAAGUCAAAAACCACACACCACACACGCACACACAUGCACACACGCACGCACGCACACCCCCCCCCACACACACACACGCACGCACACUCACACACAUCCACUAAUCUGCUGAACAUACAGGUCUUCAUCAUCAACCUUUAUUUAACCAGGAUAAAAAACUCCUUGAGAUUAAAAAUCUCUUUUCCUAGAGUGUCCUGGUGUUCUGACCCAGAGGAGUCUACUGAGUUUUUCUCUCUCUGCUUUCAGAAGCCACAGACCAUGGAUCAAGUCAACAUGACAAGGGCAACGGUGGCGUCGCAGCGACGCAGAAGGAGAAGGUGAAGGCCAAAGAUGAGACGUACUGGAAGGAGAUCAACGCCGCCAUGGCCUUGACCAACUUGGCUCAGGGGAAGGACAGCGUCUCCGGGACAACCAGCUGCAUCAUCCAGAAGUCCUCCCAUAUAGCCGAGGUGAAGACUGUUAAAAAACCUUCAGCUGCUGCUGCUGAAGUUUUAGCUCUGACGUUAUCCGUCUACGCAAAGCAACAAACAUUCCUCUCUCAGCAAACAGAGGCCAAAUAAACUCGCCCUGACAGAGGAACAACUUGUGCUUGAGGAGAAGAAAGGCGUUUCAAGUUGAAAAACGUCAGUAUUUGCUCUUAUUGAAAAUGUCUAUACGAUUUCUUGACCAUCCUUUUCUUAAAAUUAGAAACUUUUGUAAUGUUAUUUUUUUAUUACUCUUUUUUUAUUUCUAUUUUUACUGGUACACAUUUUGUAUUCUCCAAAGUGCCUUUGUUUGUUUUAGCAGAUCAGCUCUCUGAUUGUUCAGAUCUACAACAGAUGUCAGCAGCAGUGAAGCUUCACUGUAACCUUGACUUUGCUACUUAGACCAGGUGUUUAUAUGAACCACUAUAGCCUUAAGCAUAUAUGAUUGUUGCCUGGAUGUGUCAACUGGUUCUGUUUUGGAUCAAAACAGUUUUUUCCCUCAUUCAUCCAGGUUCUGUUCAUGUGGGUCAUAAUGGACAUAAGUUCAGAAGUAUAUUUUCUGACACUCAAACUGUUGUUGUGAUCAGAGACCUCAAGAAAGAAUUGAGCUGCACCGUUUCAGUUUCUGGUGUUGGAUGUUUCAGAGUUCCUGGUUGGGAACGUAUUUUAACAAAAUGAUGAAGGAAAGUCAAACUAAUGAGAGACAAAGUUACAUUACUUCAUCUGGUGGGAUAAUAGAGGAACCACAAUCUGUCUGUAUUAUUUUACGGCCAGUCAACAGAACCCUGUUAGGGUCGACAGUACAGUACAUAAGGCAGAGAGGAGGUGAUAUGAAGACAAACAAUGAAACUCAUUCCAAUCAUUUUGUAAAUUAAAAUGACGAUGAACUGAAGUCAUCGUCUGUGAUCCUGAACAGAACUGAUGCUCUAACAGGGAGAACCUUGUUCCCCUGACAACAGAGGAGUCAUUAUGCAUAUUGUUGCAUCACGCAGUAAAUCAGGACACGUAGGGAUGAAACAGGAACAAGAUGACUUUGUUGUAUUUAUAUCAAAGGUAACCAUCAGUUUUUAUUAUUUACUAAUAUAUUUGUUUAUUCAGGUGAAGACUGGAUGUUCAAUCCAAUGACCAUGUAUGUAUCUCCUUGAGCUCUUAGAUUUGUUCUCAUGUAAAAUUUCUUUUAUAAAUUGUUGGUUUGUAACAGCAAUGAAUAAAGUUCUAAAUGGAAUGAG